rnacentral:rRNA from 1 species
UGAUUCUUAGUGGCGAACGGGUGAGUAACGCGUAGACAACCUGCCUUCUAGAUGGGGACAACACUGCGAAAGUGGUGCUAAUACCGAAUGUUGCAUUAAGCCUGCAUGGGCUUGAUGCUAAAGGUGGCCUCUAUUUAUAAGCUAUCACUAGAAGAUGGGUCUGCGUCUGAUUAGCUAGUUGGUGAGGUAAUGGCUCACCAAGGCGAUGAUCAGUAGCCGGUCUGAGAGGAUGAACGGCCACACUGGGACUGAGACACGGCCCAGACUCCUACGGGAGGCAGCAGUGGGGAAUCUUCCGCAAUGGACGAAAGUCUGACGGAGCAACGCCGCGUGAGUGAAGAAGGUUUUCGGAUCGUAAAGCUCUGUCUUUGAGGACGAAUGUGUCUAAUGUGAAUAAUGUUAGAUAAUGACGGUACUCGAGGAGGA